UACGUAGGGCGCGAGCGUUGUCCGGAAUCAUUGGGCGUAAAGAGCUCGUAGGCGGCCUGCCGCGUCUGCUGUGAAAUCCCGGGGCUUAACCCCGGGCGUGCAGUGGAUACGGGCUGGCUGGAGGCAGGCAGGGGAGAACGGAAUUCCCGGUGUAGCGGUGAAAUGCGCAGAUAUCGGGAGGAACACCGGUGGCGAAGGCGGUUCUCUGGGCCUGUACUGACGCUGAGGAGCGAAAGCGUGGGGAGCGAACAGGA
rnacentral:rRNA from 1 species